rnacentral:misc_RNA from 1 species
AUUGAAAUGCAUUUCAUUUUUUUUUUCUCUUAUCAUUUCAUUUAUUUGAGCAAAUAAAAGUGAUACAACUGGAAGGACAAGUGAUAGAUGACAUUCUAGUGUUACUUGUGUAUUUUCUGAGAAACAUUGGCACAGUGCUUGUGUUUUGUUGUUUUACUAGUAAAUAACAUCUUGUUGAAGCACUAGUGUCUAUGUUUCUUAUCCUUUCUUGGAGACAUUUCAUAUUGCAUAUGUGAUUUCUGUUAGCGGAUUGCAUACAAGGUCCUAUUGAUGGU